UACAGAGGUCUCGAGCGUUAGGCGGGAUCACUGGGCUUAAAGCGUGUGUAGGCGGAUCGGUAAGUACCUUGUGAAAUCCCACAGCUUAACUGUGGAACUGCUUGGUAUACUGCCAGUCUUGAGCCACUUAGGGGCUACCGGAACAAAUGGUGGAGCGGUGAAAUGCGUAGAUAUCAUUUGGAACGCCAAUGGUGAAAACAGGUAGCUGGGAGUGUGCUGACGCUGAGACACGAAAGCCAGGGGAGCAAACGGG
rnacentral:rRNA from 1 species